CUAUGGCGGCGUGAUAUGCGACGACCGCUUGAUCUCCGGCCGUGGAAGGUUUUCGAUUGUAUUGUUUCCCUGGUUUAUGGCUAUCCAAGAUAACUCCUCGAUCCUACAAAGCCAAUGAAUAAGACAUGUGUUCUUAUAGUCCGUAUACAUUGUGAAGGUUGUAAGGAUAUGUCAGGAAGAAGGUGCAGAAGGUUCAAGGUAAGUUGUGGGGUUCAGUUGUAUUUUAUUCGUUGUUUAAUUGGUUUAUUGUUUGGCUGGGUUCAUGUGGUACAUGGAAGCAAUAAAUAACAUAUUGUUGUAGGAGCUUUGUUGAUUCUUUGAAAAUGUGAACUCAAUUUUACUCUGUUUCAAUUAUGUUUCAUAUUCUGUUAUUUACUUGAGUUAUGCUUGUAUUGUAAUUCAAAGAAGGAAAAUGUUUGUCUGGCAAACUCUAUAUCUGAAAUGCAUAAAUUUGGAGCAAUCUAUAAUAUCAAAUGGUUCUCAUACUUUGGCACAUGAAUCCAAUGAUUUGGGUAAAAAAGAUAAAAAGAAGAAAGGAACAAAAAGAGGAAGGCACUUUGAUAGAGAUUCUCGAGCUACUAAUCCAGAGGUUCGUUUGGAGUCUCUAACUAGGCAAUAUGAAUGAAGUCUCUAAUACUCUAACUUUAUUUUUGUCCUGAUUUGAUAAUGUUGUUUGUGCAGGUCUCAAUUUGGUGUGAUCUCACUGUAGUUGAAGACAACUGUAUUUGUUCACCUCUUU